rnacentral:rRNA from 1 species
GUGGGGAAUCUUCCGCAAUGGACGAAAGUCUGACGGAGCGACGCCGCGUGAGUGAAGAAGGCCUUCGGGUCGUAAAGCUCUGUCAUCAGGGACGAACGGCCGGUGGAGUGGAAAGCCACCGGAUUGACGGUACCUGAGAAUGAAGCCACGGCUAACUACGUGCCAGCAGCCGCGGUAAUACGUAGGUGGCAAGCGUUGUCCGGAAUUAUUGGGCGUAAAGCGCGCGCAGGUGGGAUCUUAAGUCCAUUUUUAAAGUUCGGAGCUCAACUCCGUGAUGGGAUGGAAACUGGGAUUCUUGAGUACCUGAGAGGAAAGCGGAAUUCCCCGUGUAGCGGUGAAAUGCGUAGAUAUGGGGAGGAACACCAGUGGCGAAGGCGGCUUUCUGGACGGUGUCUGACACUGAGGCGCGAAAGCCAGGGGAGCGAACGGGAUUAGAAACCCCGGUAGUCC